rnacentral:rRNA from 1 species
GAUGAACGCUGGCGGCGUGCUUAACACAUGCAAGUCGAACGAAGAUGCCGGAGUGCUUGCACUUUGGCAGACUGAGUGGCGGACGGGUGAGUAACGCGUGGGUAACCUGCCUUAUACAGGGGGAUAACAGUUGGAAACGACUGCUAAUACCGCAUAAGCGCACGGUAUCGCAUGAUACAGUGUGAAAAACUCCGGUGGUAUAAGAUGGACCCGCGUCUGAUUAGCUUGUUGGUGAGGUAACGGCCCACCAAGGCGACGAUCAGUAGCCGGCCUGAGAGGGUGAACGGCCACAUUGGGACUGAGACACGGCCCAAACUCCUACGGGAGGCAGCAGUGGGGAAUAUUGCACAAUGGGGGAAACCCUGAUGCAGCGACGCCGCGUGAGUGAAGAAGUAUUCGGUAUGUAAAACUCUAUCAGCAGGGAAGGUAAUAGACGGUACCUGACUAAGAAGCACCGGCUAAAUACGUGU